UCCGGCGCGCGGGCGUAAGGUGGAUGCGGAGGUCAGGGGGCUUGUGAUACGCGUGGUGUGGUCGGCGCUGUUAUUCGAGCUGGGCUGGCUGGGCGGUGGUAGCUGUCACAGGAAAUAAGUGACCAUGGUGCUGAACAGUUUGGAUAAGAUGAUUCAACUCCAGAAAAACACGGCUAACAUCAGGAAUAUCUGUGUUUUGGCUCAUGUUGACCAUGGAAAAACUACUCUGGCUGACUGUCUUAUAUCUAGCAAUGGCAUUAUCUCCAGCCGCCUGGCAGGCAAGUUAAGGUACAUGGACAGCAGAGAGGAUGAACAGGUCCGAGGGAUCACUAUGAAAUCCAGUGCCAUUUCACUACAUUAUGCAAAAGGUGAGGAGGAGUACCUGAUUAAUCUGAUAGACUCUCCAGGACAUGUGGAUUUCUCCUCAGAAGUAUCGACGGCUGUUCGCAUUUGUGACGGGUGCAUCAUUGUAGUGGAUGCUGUGGAAGGGGUCUGUCCACAGACACAGGCAGUUCUGCGACAAGCCUGGCUCGAAAACAUCCGUCCAGUUUUAGUGAUUAAUAAGAUAGAUCGCUUGAUAGUGGAACUGAAAUUCACCCCACAGGAGGCCUAUUCUCACCUCAAGAAUAUUUUAGAACAGAUUAAUGCACUCACAGGAGCUCUUUUUACUUCUAAAGUGCUAGAAGAAAGAGCAGAGAGAGAGACUGAAUCCCAAGUGAAUCCCAAUUCUGAGCAAGGAGAGCAAGUGUAUGACUGGAGCGCUGGCUUGGAGGACACGGAUGAUUCUCACCUUUACUUCUCUCCAGACCAGGGAAAUGUGGUAUUUACAAGUGCAAUAGAUGGGUGGGGCUUUGGAAUUGAGCACUUUGCCGAAAUCUACAGUCAAAAAAUUGGCAUCAAAAAGGAAGUUCUUUUGAAAACCUUGUGGGGAGAUUAUUAUAUAAAUACGAAGGCUAAGAAGAUUAUGAAGGUUGAUCAGGCAAAAGGAAAGAAACCUUUAUUUGUACAGUUGAUCCUGGAAAAUAUAUGGAGUUUGUAUGAUGCUGUCUUGAAAAAGGACAAAGAAAAAAUUGAUAAAAUCGUGACUUCUUUAGGAUUAAAAAUUGGAGCCCGAGAGGCACGGCAUUCAGACCCUAAAGUUCAGAUCAAUGCUAUUUGCAGUCAGUGGCUUCCCAUAUCUCAGGCUGUUCUUGCUAUGGUGUGUCAGAAACUUCCUAGUCCCCUUGAUAUUACAGCCGAGAGAGUGGAGAAACUGAUGUGCGCAGGAUCGCAAACAUUUGAUUCUCUUCCACCGGAAACCCAGGCACUGAAAGCAGCUUUUAUGAAAUGUGGAAGCGAAGACACUGCUCCGGUUAUUAUCUUUGUUUCCAAAAUGUUUGCAGUUGAUGCUAAGGCUUUGCCUCAGAAUAAGCAAAGACCUCUCACUCAGGAGGAGAUUGCCGAGAGGCAUGAGCGUGCAAGACGAAGGCACGCGGAGAAGCUGGCAGCCGCGCAGGGCCAAGCACCCUUGGAGCCCACCCAGGACGGGAGUGCCCUUGAAACGAGUCCACAGGGAGAAGAGCUGAAAGGUGAUGAGCAAGAGGUGGAGAGUGAGACCCCUAAACCUGUGCCCCAGGAAGGAAAUGACCGAGAACCUUUUAUUGCAUUUGCUCGAGUAUUCAGUGGCGUGGCUCGAAGAGGAAAGAAAAUUUUCGUCUUGGGGCCCAAAUACAGUCCUCUUGAGUUUUUGCAGCGGGUGCCGUUAGGCUUCUCAGCUCCAUUAGAUGACCUUCCCCCGGUCCCCCACAUGGCAUGCUGUACCCUGGAAAACCUGUAUCUUCUGAUGGGAAGGGAACUGGAAGAUCUAGAGAAGGUACCUCCAGGAAAUGUGCUAGGAAUAGGAGGCCUUCAAGACUUUGUGCUGAAAUCGGCAACACUGUCUACCUUGCCCUCCUGCCCGCCAUUUAUACCACUCAACUUUGAAGCCACCCCUAUUGUGAGGGUUGCUGUUGAACCGAAACAUCCAAGUGAAAUGCCUCAGCUCGUCAGAGGAAUGAAACUGUUAAACCAAGCUGAUCCCUGUGUCCAGAUUUUAAUUCAGGAAACGGGAGAGCACGUUUUAGUCACAGCAGGGGAAGUUCACCUUCAGCGAUGCCUGGAUGACUUAAAAGAAAGGUUUGCAAAGAUUCAAAUCAGUGUGUCUGAACCCAUUAUUCCAUUCAGAGAAACAAUCACAAAACCCCCCACAGUUGACAUGGUCAAUGAAGAAAUAGGCAAACAACAAAAAGUUGCAGUCAUACACCAAACAAAAGAAGAUCAAAACAGAAUCCCUGAAGGAAUCCAAGUGUACUCUGGUGGGCUAAUCACCAUGACAACCCCCAAUAAACUUGCCACACUCAGUGUUCGAGCCAUGCCCCUUCCAGAAGAAGUCACUCAGAUUCUGGAAGAAAAUAGUGAUGUGAUUCGUUCUAUGGAGCAGUUGAUAUCCUCUUUGAAUGAGGGUAAAAACACUCAGAUGAUUCACCAGAAGACCCAAGAGAAAAUUUGGGAAUUCAAAGGAAAACUAGAGCAGCAUCUAACAGGGAGAAAAUGGAGGAACACUGUUGACCAAAUCUGGUCGUUUGGCCCAAGAAAAUGUGGGCCCAACAUAUUAGUAAAUAAAAGUAAAGAUUUUCAGAAUUCAGUAUGGACAGGCCCAGAUGGCAAAGCAUCAAAAGAAGCCAGUAGAUACCGAGAUUUGGGCAAUAGCAUCGUGAGUGGCUUCCAGCUAGCAACCCUCUCUGGCCCCAUGUGUGAGGAGCCUCUCAUGGGUGUCUGUUUUGUUCUGGAAGAAUGGGACCUAAGUAAAUUUGAAGACCAAACAGCAAGUGAUAAGCAGAAUCAAGAACAAAGUGAUCUGGUAAAAGAGGGACAGGGGGAAGGUGAAACCUGUCCUGGUAGAGAAGAACACCAAGACCUACAAGGUGGCUGCUCCGAGCCCUCUGAGAAGAGGGCUUCCCAGAAAGGAGAGUCUUCACUCACUGACUGCUAUGGACCCUUCUCAGGACAGCUCAUUGCCACCAUGAAGGAAGCCUGUCGCUAUGCACUACAAGUGAAACCUCAGCGUCUGAUGGCGGCAAUGUACACGUGUGACAUCAUGGCCACCAGUGAUGUUCUCGGUAAGGCAAGAAAGGUCGGGUCUAUGCGGUCUUGUCAAAGAGAGAAGGUCGAGUGCUACAAGAGGAAAUGAAGGAGGGGACGGACAUGUUCAUCAUCAAGGCUGUGCUGCCCGUGGCCGAAAGCUUUGGCUUUGCUGAUGAAAUUAGGAAGAGGACAAGUGGCCUGGCCAGCCCGCAGCUGAUAUUUAGCCAUUGGGAGAUCAUUCCCAGCGACCCCUUCUGGGUACCAACCACUGAGGAGGAGUAUUUGCACUUUGGGGAAAAGGCUGAUUCUGAGAACCAGGCCCGGAAGUACAUGAAUGCGGUACGAAAGCGGAAGGGUCUUUAUGUGGAAGAGAAGAUUGUGGAGCACGCAGAAAAGCAGAGAACCCUCAGCAAAAAUAAGUAACUACCACUGGUGGCAGAUUCUUCUCUUUGUAAUAAAUUAGGAAGUAUCACCCAGGCUUCGAUCCUGGGAAAAUUCCUUUAUGCUGCAUCAUCUCUGUGCAUUCACUUUCAAUAAAUUUGAUCCAUAUCAUAUUUUAAAGAGGGCGUUCCAAAAUGUUUUUGUAAUUGGUUCUGGUACAAGGCAAGAAGUGAUCAAUAUUGCAGUGGUGCCUUCUUCCUACCCUAUGUAUAACCCCUUGGCAGCAAGACUUGUGCUGUGAUGAGGGCAACCUGCUAAGUGCCGGGGGCAGGGUGUGCAGAUCCCCCAGUGGGCUGGGUCCUCUACACUGAGCACCCACCCCUCUGCCUGUCAUCAGAGUGUCGCUCUUCUGAUUACAUCCUCCACUUAAACAUACUUCAUAUUUAAUCAUUGAAUCACAGCAUUUAACAUCAUUUGGAGAGACCGCAUACUCGAGAGACCAACUACCUUUAGGUUAGUUAAACCAAGUCACUGUUACAGCUGAUUCAUCUUGCUACACAUCUUUAUUUGUGUAGCAAACCAAUGUAAUGUUCAACUGUUAGCCUUUAAACCUUCUGUUUUUACACUCCCUCCUAAAUUGCAUCACUCAUAUUUAAAUAAAUGUUAAUUAAAGUUA